UGUCUAACUACAGCUCCCAUGAUUCAAGCCUGGAGCCAUGGCAGUGAAAGUGGGGUCAAAGUGCAUUCAUUCCACAGUGAAGAUGCGCCUUUUGAAUGACCCGAUGGCGCACAACAACAAAGACAUUAAGGAUUAUUGUUAUUAUUUUAUGGGGGAAAGAAGGGCGCUGCCUUUCCCUGCGUGGAAAGCAUUCUUUCCUAGGCGAGAGCCUGCCUGCCUGCCUGCCUGCCUCUCUCCAUUGGAGCCCAUGCUGUCGGAGGGGGAGCUUCGCAGCCCACCCAAUGCCUUCCCUUUCGGGGCGGAGCAGCUCCAGCCCGGACGGCGCCGCCAGAGAGAGCCGCGAUGCAAAAGGCAGAGGCCCGGCCACGUCAGCACGACCACCCCGGGGGCCCCGAUCCCAGGCCCGGCGGCGGGGCAGCCAUGGACAUCCCCGCGGGGCACAGGCUGGUAUGGCAUCGCGCGUGGGGAACCAUCCCUUUACACUGUCAAGGCAAUUUUUAUCAUGGACAGCUUUGGGCAGCAGCUUUUGGCCAAGUAUUAUGAUGAUACAUUUCCAUCCACGAAAGAACAGAAGAGCUUUGAGAGAAAUGUCUUCAACAAAACCCACAAGACUGAUAGUGAGAUUGCUUUCUUGGAAGGACUGACCAUUGUCUAUAAGAGCAGCAUUGAUCUUUUCUUUUAUGUGGUGGGGAGUCCACAUGAAAAUGAGCUGAUGCUAACAUCGGUUCUCAGUUGUCUUUUUGAAUCCCUCAACCACAUGCUGCGAAAGAAUGUGGAGAAGCGAGCCCUGAUGGAGAAUUUGGAUGGAGUAUUCCUUGUGGUGGAUGAGAUCGUUGAUGGCGGUGUGAUUUUAGAAAGUGAUCCUCAGCAAGUCAUCCAGAAGUUAAAUUUCAGAACAGUCCCCGAGCCUGCGCCUUAUGGCUUUGUUCUCCUUGAUUACAUCGUGGGCAAUACAGAGCACAGUGAAAUUUUGCCUGAGAUGUUCCAAAAAUAGAUAAAUGUUCUCACAAACAGGAAGCAGGAGUGGAUGACCCAUCUUUAUCAGAGCACAGUGUCACUCAGGUCCUUCAGUCUGCCAAAGAGCAAAUUAAGUGGUCCUUAUUAAAAUAAAAUACUCCAAACAAAAGGCACAGCACUGGAGAAUUUUGAUUUGCAGUUUCUAACAUGGUUCUUGAAACAUUGUUUUUUCCUGAUUGCCCUCAAAGGAUGAGACCCUUCCAAUGAAGCCUGAUUAUUCUGAUUUAAGAGGAAACCAACCUGCUGAAGCUUAUCUGAGUAACUUUUCAAAGUAAGCAGCAAAGUCUGGUAUUAAUUAAUACAUAGACAGCUGCCCUUGACUGUCGUUUUCAAGAGGUUCCUUCCAGACAGAUAUAACCUGCCAUUGCCAGUUAAAAGACACCAGGGAGCUAUUUCACCUUGCUCUUUUUAAUGGAUGUUUGGUAUUUUAUUCUGGUAAGAAGGCAUAAGAAACACAGAAGAAUUACAAUUUUCAUCUACAUCCACCCAUAUUAUCCACAAUGUUUUUUCCCCAAGUGCUUCUAUAGCAGGCAUGGGCAAACUUCAGCCAUCCAGGUGUUUUGAACUUCAACUCCCAGAAUUCCUAACAGGUAGACAGUUAGGAAUGUGGGAAUUGAAGUCCAAAACACCCGGAGGACCGAAGUUUGCCCAUGCCUGCUCUAUAGUAUCCUUUCUCCAGCUCCACAAAGAUGGCAGAAAAUAAAAGAUAUAUUUGCACAAA